UCUCAAGAAAAGAAUUUUAGUCCAACCUAAAGUACAUUACAUGCGCACAAAUUACCCCCCUCCCACUUUAGAGCAAUUCAAAUAAGGUACAGCCUAUUUGAUACAGGACCCAACCUUAACUAACGGGUAACAUCAAUUUACAUCUAUAAGUAGGCCUAAGAGCAGCCACCUUUUAAAAAGCGUCAGAGCUUACUACAUUUAUUCUAAUUCCUCAGCCCACAUAGACCCCUUUAACUGUACUGAGAACUUCUAUAUUACUAUAGAACCUUUUAUGCUAGAACUAGUAACAAGAGUUAACCCUCUCCAUAAUGCAAGUAUAAGCCAGCAAGAACCCACCACUGGCAUCUAACAGACCUAACAAAAGUAGCAACUUACACCAGAAAACUCUACUUUACCCACUGUUAACCUUACACCAGAGCAUUUCAAGAAAGAUUAAAAGGAAAAGAAGGAACUCGGCAAACAUUAGCCCCGCCUGUUUACCAAAAACAUCGCCUCUUGUCCAUAUAAGAGGUCCAGCCUGCCCAGUGACUCUUGUUCAACGGCCGCGGUAUCCUAACCGUGCGAAGGUAGCGUAAUCACUUGUCUUAUAAAUAAAGACCAGUAUGAAAGGCAUCACGAGGGCUAAACUGUCUCCUUUCCCUAAUCAGUGAACCUAAUCUCUCCGUGAAGAAGCGGAGGUUAUUAUAUAAGACGAGAAGACCCUAUGGAGCUUUAAACAUCACAACACCUGCCCCCACAUUUUAUUUACCCAGGUAUACCCCCUCACAGCACUCUGAUUGUAUGUUUUUGGUUGGGGUGACCGCGGAGAAAAACUAAUCCUCCGCAAUGAAAGGGAUCUUCCCUAAACAAUAAGCCACAACUUUAUGUAUCCACAAAUUGACAUUCAUUGACCCAAUAUAUUUGAUUAACGAACCAAGUUACCCUAGGGAUAACAGCGCAAUCCACUUCAAGAGCCCCUAUCGACAAGUGGGCUUACGACCUCGAUGUUGGAUCGGGGUAUCCUAGUGGUGCAGCCGCUACUAAAGGUUCGUUUGUUCAACGAUUAAAACCC
rnacentral:rRNA from 1 species